CAAUAGCGUAUAUUAAUGUUGUUGCAGUUAAAAAGUUCGUAGUUGGAUUUCUGGUGGGAGCGGCCGGUCCGCCGUAAGGUGUGUACUUGGUUGUCUCCUGUCAUCCUUGUGGGAACUGCUCUGGCAUUAAGUUGUCGGGGUUAGGGAACACAUCGUUUACUGUGAAAAAAUUAGAGUGUUUAAAGCAGGCUUAUGCCGUUGAAUACAUUAGCAUGGAAUAAUAAGAUAGGACUUUGGCGUCUAUUUUGUUGGUUUGCACACCAAGGUAAUGAUUAAUAGGGAUAGUUGGGGGUAUUCGUAUUUAAUUGUCAGAGGUGAAAUUCUUGGAUUUAUGAAAGACGAACUUCUGCGAAAGCAUUUACCAAAGAUGUUUUCAUUAA
rnacentral:rRNA from 1 species